rnacentral:rRNA from 1 species
AAGUCGUAACAAGGUUUCCGUAGGUGAACCUGCGGAAGGAUCAUUAAUGCUAAGCAUGAGCAGAGCUCUCUGCGAAUGCGUUGCCUCUUCCAAAACUCUCGAAACUUUUUGGCUGUGCCUGAAAGUUUCGACGUCACAAGUAACCUGAGGACGUUUCUCUUUGAGAGAUGUUCCUCUACCCAUUUUUAACCAUCAUUACCUACUUUAAACUCUUUAGACUGAUAUGAACAAACAUUUAUUCUUGUAAAUGUGAAAACAACUCUUAGCAAUGGAUAUCUAGGCUCUCGCAACGAUGAAGAACGCAGCGAAAUGCGAUACGUAAUGCGAAUUGCAGAAUUCAGUGAAUCAUCGAAUCUUUGAACGCAACUUGCGCUCCCGGGAUAUGCCUGGGAGCAUGCUUUCUUGAGCGUCGGUUCUAUCAUCAUCUCACUGACCUUUUGGAUUAGUGGAAAAUGAGUUUCCAAAAAGCUUAGGCCUUUUGGAGGCUUGAAAUCAUUGAUUGGGGCAUCUCUUAGCGAAUCGACUUUGAGUCGCAUGAAUGCUCUGUGACGUGGAUAAUUUCACCUUCUUGGGUGUAUCCUUUACGUUGUGGAGUAGCGUACUUGAAGUGGGUCUGCGUUCCCUUUUUUCAAAGGGGGACGAGAUGACUCAUAAGCGAGUAAGGUGUGAAUCCUCUUUUGGUUUUUGCACUCUUAUUCAACGUUUCCAUCCUUCUGGAUAUUUAGACCUCAAGUAAAGUAAGAGUACCCGCUGACUUAA